UGCCAGCAGCCGCGGUAAUACGGAGGGGGCUAGCGUUGUUCGGAAUUACUGGGCGUAAAGCGCGCGUAGGCGGACUUUCAAGUCAGGGGUGAAAUCCCGAGGCUCAACCUCGGAACUGCCUUUGAUACUGAGAGUCUUGAGUCCGAGAGAGGUGAGUGGAAUUCCUAGUGUAGGGGUGAAAUCCGUAGAUAUUCGGAGGAACACCAGUGGCGAAGGCGGCUUUCUGGACCGAUACUGACGCUGAGACGCGAAAGCGUGGGGAGCAAACAGGAUUAGAUA
rnacentral:rRNA from 1 species